rnacentral:lncRNA from 1 species
UCCCCUUCGUGCGCCGGCUGGAGCGAAGAGUUCUUUUGACAGCCGUGAGCUUCCCCGCCAGGAACUUACUGGGGCUGCAUCACCCUAGAAACGUGGCUUUGGGCUGUGGAAACGCUGCCUCUGUGGAAGUCUCUCCUCGCGGGGGUGGACGGGUCGCUGCGCGCCCAGCGUUCUUCUGCGGUUCUCACAGCCCGCCGCCGCCGCCGCCUCGGGGACCUUUGCGGGGAGGCCUCAGGCUGGAGUAUAGUGGCAUGAUCAUAGAUCACUGCAGCCUCAAACUCCUGGGCUCAAGCGAUCCUCCCACCUCAGCCUCCAUAUAGCUGGUGGGGACCAAGUUUCUAACACAUGAAUGUUGGGAGACACAUUCAGACCAUCGCAGUGGCCUUAUAAAAAGAGACACAAGAGCUUGCUCUCUGCCAUGUGAGAAUACCACAAGAAGACUGUCCUCAGCAAAUCAGAAAGCGGGUGGACCCUCAUCAGACACCAGAUGUGCCUGCACCUUGAUCUUGGACUUGCCAGCCUUCAGAACAGUAAGAAAGAAAUGUGUGUUGUUUAAGCCACCCAGUCUAUGGUAACUUGCUAUAGCAGCCCACUAGGAGACCCCAAGAUAUUUAAAAACUCAUCAGCACCUGCUUUCUGCAUCUGGACCCUGAUCUUCUGGUGGGUUUACCAGUUACUUGUAGAGUGUCCCUGUGAUAGUUUUAGGUGUCAACUUGACAGGAUUGAGGGAUGCCUAGAUGGCUGGGGAAGCACUGUUUCUGAGAAGGACCAUGUUUUUGGAGGAGACUGUUUUAUGAGUGAAUUUCAGGGGACACAUUCAGAUCAUGGCAGUGGCAUUAUAAAGAGAGACACAAAAGCUUGCUCUCUCUCUCUGCCAUGUAAGACUACCACACAAAGACUGCCAUCUGCAAACCAGAAGCAGGUGGGCCUUCCAACUUGGAUCAGGCCAUGCCACCGGCUUCUCUGAUUCUCCAGCUUGCAGAUGGUAUAUUGUGACCCUGGCAUUUAAUAACUAUGACUUUGGUCUUAAGCAAUUUUCUUCCUCUGUGGAUUGAUAUUUACAUAUCAAUGUGGAUAAUAAUUUCUUACCACGGUAACUGUUGUGAGGUAAAAAUGAGUUAACAUAAGUAAAACCGAGCACAUGCAAACCAUCCGAAAUGGUUAAUACUUACUAUUUGUACUUGAAGAAAUAAAUGUUUUUGACAAUAAACUUCUUGUGCAGUUUUCCUCA